rnacentral:rRNA from 1 species
CCUACGGGUGGCAGCAGUGAGGAAUAUUGGUCAAUGGACGCAAGUCUGAACCAGCCAUGCCGCGUGCAGGAAGACGGCUCUAUGAGUUGUAAACUGCUUUUGUACGAGGGUAAACGCAGAUACGCGUAUCUGUCUGAAAGUAUCGUACGAAUAAGGAUCGGCUAACUCCGUGCCAGCAGCCGCGGUAAUACGGAGGAUUCAAGCGUUAUCCGGAUUUAUUGGGGUUAAAGGGUGUGUAGGCGGUCGGAUAAGUUAGAGGUGAAAUCCCGAGGCUCAACUUCGGAAUUGCCUCUGAUACUGUUCGUCUAGAGAGUAGUUGCGGUAGGCGGAAUGUAUGGUGUAGCGGUGAAAUGCUUAGAGAUCAUACAGAACACCGAUUGCGAAGGCAGCUUACCAAGCUACUUCUGACGUUGAGGCACGAAAGCGUGGGGAGCAAACAGGAUUAGAUACCCGGGUAGUC